rnacentral:rRNA from 1 species
GACGAACCAUGCAAACGUUAUUCGGAUUCACUGGGCUUAAAGCGUGCGCAGGCGGUUCGCCAAGUCAGGUGUGAAAUCCCCGGGCUUAACCUGGGAAUUGCGCCUGAAACUAGCGGGCUUGAGUGUGGCAGAGGGGGGUGGAAUUCCACGUGUAGCAGUGAAAUGCGUAGAGAUGUGGAGGAACACCGAUGGCGAAGGCAGCCCCCUGGGUCAACACUGACGCUCAUGCACGAAAGCGUGGGGAGCAAACAGG